ensembl:lncRNA RNF217-AS1 RNF217 antisense RNA 1 (head to head)
GCUCCGAGGCGGGGGCCUCGGGCAGGUCGCUCUCCACGCAGUACACGGAGCAGAAGACUUGUCUCUUGGCGAGGGACGGGCGCCGCUGACCCAGCACGUCCAGGACCAGUCCGUCGGCGGCCCCCACGCGGGUCCUGGGCUCCAGCUCUUCGCCGGGGGGCGCCUCCUGCUGUUCAUCCCCUCCCUCUUUUCGAUCCCCAGCUUCCUCCUCUUCCUCCUCCAGCUCCAACUGCAGUGGCAAGGUCUGGGGAUUGAGAGGCCCGGCAUGACUAAGAGAUAUCGUGAAAUUACAACUCAACAAUGAAUUACAGCACAGGCUUUUCACAACUAAGAGACUGUCCAUCAUGGUGCCAGUUUUUCUCAAAAUGGCAUGUGUGCAUGAAAUUCUACAGGCAUAUGGGGUCGUGAUCUGCUAAUCUCCAGUUAUUAUAGAAUUUAGACAUGAAAGAGUGGAAUAUAUUCUGUUUUAAAAAUAUUAUUGCAAAUUGUUGCACCUGUGCAUCUCUUCCAGACUACUUUGAAAAGGGACUUUCCAGCUAUCAGUACACUAUCUCACAAUUACCCUUGAACCAGAAGACAAUGAAUGAUUUGCUAAACAGAUGGCAUAGUCUAUGACAUGCAUCAUAUGUGUGAGCAAUCACAGAAGACUCCUUCCUGUUGCCUUGUGAAGAAGGCUCCUGCUUCCCCUUCACCUUCUGCGCGAUUGUAAGUUUCCUGAGGCCUCCUAGCCAUGCUUCUUGUUCACUCUGCGGAACUGUCCUGAGCUGAAAAGAAUAUGAGAAAUCGGAUUUUACGACAUGGUUAUAGGCGGAAGGGAUUUGCCUUGUCUCAGAUGAGACUUUGGACUGUGGACUUUUGAGGCUUACAUUUUUUAUUUUCCUAGCUGCCUAAAAGAAGAUUUGAUAAGAAAAAAUUUUUCUCUUAAUGACCUUAAAAUUUUCUCUUAAUGAACAAGGUCGUUCUGGACCUUGUUCUGGAACAAAAAUGAUCUAGUGAGAUUUAAUCAAUUAUACUCUGGAAGCAUUUGUGACGUCUAUAAUUUUUCCCAGAACGGAAAAUCAGCAACAGAAUCCUUGAGCUCAAAGAUAAUCAAAUCUAACUCCUGAGUUUCACAGACAAAGAUGCGGAGACCUGGGGGAAUAUCGUGACUUGAGAAGAUAACACAGCUGUUCUCUGAGGCAGUAAGUCCCUUGGCAUUACUGCUUUAACAGAAGCUGGGAGGUUUACAGUCUGUUUACUACUUGGGCAAAUCAUAUUAGCCAAGAAAGCAAAGUACUGAUGAAUUCAGUAAACAAGAUAGCCAUUAGAAAAACAGGAUUAAGAAAGGGCUUGAAAGAAGCUUCAAGGUGGUUAUGUUUUAAGAUUAUGAAGCCUUUGAUUCCUAGCCACAGCACUCAGUAGUUGUAAGACCAACUAAACAAUUCACUUCUGUCUUCUGCAAAUUGACUGGAAUUGCAGGACAUACCAUAUACCAUGGAGCUCCUAGGAGAUUCAGUGAAAUAGCAAAUAUAGAGUGUCUGGCAUGGGAUAUGCAGUCUAUCAAUGUUAGCCUUUGCUAUGUAAUCCAAAGUGAUUUAUUCCAUAAGGAAAAAAUGAGUUUGUUUUUUGUUUGCUUUUCUUGAAUUCAUCAGAACACAAGGCAGGGGUUUAUGGAAAUACAGUCUUGAAGAAAAAAAUAAGUAUUUUCCCCUGAGAGAUGGAAACACUUGUGAAAAGAAAUAAGUAGGAGCACAGGAGCUGGAGUAAUCCUCUAGAGCAGGGGUCCCCAACCCCAGUCUGUGGCCUAUUAGGAGCCCAGCCGCACAGCAGGAGGUGAGUGGUAGGCAAAUUAACAUUACCACCUGAGCUCCACCUCCUGUGAGAUCAGCAGUGGCAUUAGAUUCUUAUAGAAGCACGAACACUAUUGGGAACUAUGCAUGCGAGGGAUCUAGGUUGUGUGCUCCUUAUGAUAAUCUAAUGCCUGAUGAUCUGAGGUGAAACAGUUUCAUCCGAAAACAUUCCACCCACCACCCUGUCCAUGGAAAAAUUGUCUUCCAUGAAGGCAGUCCCUGGUGUCAAAAAGGUCAUCGACCACUGCCCUAGAGACUUUUUUUUUUUUUGAGAUGGAUUCUUGCUCUGUCACCAGGCUGGAGUGCAGUGGAGGCAUCUCUGCCCACUACAACCUCCACCUCCUGGGUUUGAGGAAUUGUCCUGCCUCAGCCUCCCAAGUAGCUGGAUUACAGGUGCAUGCCACGACACCCAGCUAAUUUUUGUAUUUUUAGUAGAGAUGGGGUUUCACCAUGUAGGCCAGGAUGGUCUCGAACUCUUGACCUUGUGAUCCGCCUGCCUCGGUCUCCCAAAGUGCUGGGAUUACAGGGAUAAGCCACCACACCCAGCCUAGAGACCUCUUUUAAAGGGACUCCUCAACAGGCUCCUCAGUCCAGGGUCUUUGCCCUCUCCCUUGUGGCUCCUGUCUCUCCAGGGCCAGCCAUGCAAAAGCACGUAUCUCUCAGAUCUCCCUUCCCUGGUGAUUCUUUCCAUUUUAAGGGUUUUAUUGAUAUUCAUAUAGAAAAACAAACAGAAAUAAUAUGUUGGGCAGGAGCAAAGGUUCAGGAAAUUUCAAAAGGAUCUUUUAGUGGUCACUUCCUGGGUUAUGCUAAACUGCAAAUGAUAUUAGAUUUACCUUUUUCAGAAGCUAUUUCUACUUUUAGACCGCCCUGUGGAAUGAUCCUCUUAUUAUUUCUGAUUCUUUUAUUCUAAAAAAUGGAGCAGUCGAAAUUUGCCGAAUGGCCAUGCUAUCACAACCCCAAAACUAUAAAAUUGUGCUAUAUACUUUUUAAACUUUUUUCUUAUAUAUAGAUUUUGUUCACCAAAUCACUGCCUCAAAUGUCUGGGAAAUUGUGCUGAGAGAUAUUAUUCUUAGGUAUUCUGUAUAGUAUUUGAAAGAUUAAGAAGUAUUAAAUAGCAAGCUUAUUAAUAAUUAUUUAUGCUUAUUAGAAACUUAUUAGCUACAGUAAUUUGGGGUUUCC